UAAUUAGGGAAGGAAAAGACACUCACUAGGAUUUUCUUAGUAGCGGCGAGCGAAAAGAAAAUAGCUCCGCACUAAGUUAUUUUGUUUUUAUCACAAAUAUAAGAUGCAGUGUAUGGAAUAUUCAUAAUCUAGUAUGAUAAAUUAACAGUUCAAGUCCUUCUUAAAUGAGGCCAUUUACCCAUAGAGGGUGCCAGGCCCGUAGGCGACGUUAAUGAUUACUAGAGAAUAUAUUUCUUAAGAGUCGUGUUGCUUGAUAGUGCAGCACUAAUUGGGUGGUAAACUCCAUCUAAAACUAAAUAUUGCCAUGAGACCGAUAGCAAACAAGUACCGUGAGGGAAAGUUGAAAAGAACUCUGAAUAGAGAGUUAAAUAGUACGUGAAACUGCUUAGAGGUUAAGCCCGAUGAACCUAAAUAUCUAAUAUGAAAAAUUCAUCAUUAAUAUUAUAUAGCUAUAUAUAUGUUAUAUAAAAAUAAUGUGCAAUUUUUUCAUAUAUAGACAUUGUAAUCUGUUAAUAUAUUGUAUUUAUACAAAUUUAUCAUAAGUAUCACGUAUGAUUCAGUUUAUAUAUAAUAUAAUAUUUAUUUAUUAUAUUAAUAUAAAAUUCAUAUUUAAAUGUGAUUACGGAUAAAUUAUUGACAGAUAUUUAAAUAUAACGCUUAACAUAUUUUUAUAUAUGUUUAUAAUGAAAUGUUUAUUAUUUAAAAUAAUAUUUCUGUUAUAUUGCGUUUAUAUGAUUAACAAUGCUAUAGAUUUAGGAUACCUUCGGGACCCGUCUUGAAACACGGACCAAGGAGUCUAACAUGUGCGCAAGUCAUUGGGUAUUUUUAAAACCUAAAGGCGUAAAUAACUUAAAUUUUAUUUAAAUAAAAUGGGAUUAAUUAUAUAAAAUUUUAAUAUUUUAUAUAUUCCAUCCCGGGGCGUUCUAUAUAGUUAUGUAUAUAUAUAAUAUUUAUUUCAAAAUUUAUAUUAUUUUAUAUACCUCUAACUGGAGCGUACCUUGAGCAUAUAUGUUGUGACCCGAAAGAUGGUGAACUAUACCUGAUCAGGUUGAAGUCAGGGGAAACCCUGAUGGAAGACCGAAACAGUUCUGACGUGCAAAUCGAUUGUCAGAAUUGGGUAUAGCGGCGAAAGACCAAUCGAACCAUCUAGUAGCUGGUUCCCUCCGAAGUUUCCCUCAGGAUAGCUGGUGCAUAUAAAUAUUAUUUAAAAAUAAUCUUAUCUGGUAAAGCGAAUGAUUAGAGGCCUUAGGGCCGAAACGACCUUAACCUAUUCUCAAACUUUAAAUGGGUAAGAACUUAACCUUUCUUGAUAUGAAGGUUUUAAGUUAUGAUAUAUUGUGCCCAGUGGGCCAUUUUUGGUAAGCAGAACUGGCGCUGUGGGAUGAACCAAACGUGAUGUUAAGGCGCCAAAAUUAACAACUCAUACCGAUACCAUGAAAGGCGUUGGUUGCUUAAAACAGCAGGACGGUGGGCAUGGAAGUCGUAAUCCGCUAAGGAGUGUGUAACAACUCACCUGCCGAAGCAACUAGCCCUUAAAAUGGAUGGCGCUCAAGUUGUAUGCCUAUACAUCACCGUUAAAGUAUAUGAUUUAUAUAUAUCAUUUGAAAUAUAUAAAUUUUGAAACUUUAAUGAGUAGGAGGGUACAAUGAUGUGCAUAGAAGUGUGUAUCGUAAGAUUGCAUGGAGCCAUUAUUGGUACAGAUCUUGGUGGUAGUAGCAAAUAAUCGAAUGAGACCUUGGAGGACUGAAGUGGAGAAGGGUUUCGUGUGAACAGUGGUUGAUCACGAGUUAGUCGGUCCUAAGUUCAAGGCGAAAGCUGAUAAAUGAUAAGUUAUAUAUAUAUAUAUAUAAUAUACACUUAUUAUUAUUGAACGAAAGGGAAUACGGUUCCAAUUCCGUAACCUGUUGAGUAUACGUUUGUUAUUAAAAAUGGGCUAUUUAAUGCUCAUCCUGGCAACAGAAACAACCAUAAAGAAGCCGUCGAGAAAUAUCGAAAGAGUUUUCUUUUCUGUUUUAUAGUCGUACUACCAUGGAAGUCUUUCGAAGAAAGAUAUGGUAGAUGGACUAGAAGAGCAUGGCAUUUACUGCUGUGUCGAUAUUUUCUCCUCGGACCUUGAAAAUUUAUGGUGGGGUUACGCAAACUUCUUAACAGGCCGUACCGAUAUCCGCAGC
rnacentral:rRNA from 1 species